AUGGCAAUUGCUCGCACUGGCGUGUACGUGGACGACUACUUGGAGUAUUCGAGCACCCUGGCCGGCGACCUGCAGAGGAUCCUCUCCACCAUGCACGAGCUCGACGAGAGGGCCCAUGGCAUUUUGGGUCAGACAAAAGGGCAGAUCAAAUAUCUCCUGGGGGUGCCAUCCCAUGGGUUCGACAGGCCAAACGUGGUGCAUGAUGAAAAUGCCUCGGAGAAGAUGACGAGGGAUAUUGAAAAUAGCCAGGACAACGCGCUUAGUCUCUGCACGGAGAAAGUGUUGCUCGCACGCCAAGCUUAUGACCUGAUAGAGAGCCAUAUCAAACGUCUUGAUGAAGACCUAGGCCAGUUUGCAGAAGAUUUAAAGCAAGAAGGAAAAAUACCUCCAGAUGAACCGCAUAUCCUUCCUCCAAUGCCGGUGGGUGGCAGGGAUGAAAGACGGAGGUCCAGUUUUAGUACACCCCAAGCAGCAAGGAAGUUUGUCAGAGAGAAGGAAUGGGAUAGGGAUAGGGAGAGAGGUAUGGACUUCGACUUAAUGCCCCCUCCAGGUAGCAGCAACAAGAAGGCCGUUGCAUCUAUGGAUGUGGAUCAAAUGAUUGAUCCAAAUGAACCAACAUAUUGUAUAUGCCACCAGGUUUCAUAUGGUGAUAUGAUUGCUUGUGACAAUGAGAAUUGUGAAGGAGGCGAAUGGUUCCAUUACUCGUGCGUUGGUCUGACACCAGAAACAAGAUUCAAAGGGAAAUGGUUUUGCCCAACUUGCAGGAAUCUUCAAUGA
rnacentral:rRNA from 1 species